rnacentral:rRNA from 1 species
AUUGAACGCUGGCGGCAGGCCUAACACAUGCAAGUCGAGCGGAGCGGCGGACGGGUAAGUAAUGCCUAGGAAUCUGCCAGUUAGUGGGGGAUAAAGUCCAGAAACGGGCGCUAAUACCACAUACUAUCAGAUGAGCCUAGGUCGGAUUAGCUCGUUGGUGGGGUAAAGGCCUACCCAGGCGACUAUCCGUAACUGGUCUGAGAGGAUGAGCAGUCACACGGGAACUGAGACACGGUCCAGACUCCUACGGGAGGAAGCAGUGGGGAAUAUUGGACAAUGGGCGAAAGCCUGAUCCAGCCAUGCCGCGUGUGUUAAGAAGGCCUUCGGGUUGUAAAGUACUUUCAGCGGGGAGGCGUUACCCGCAGAAGAAGCACCGGCUAACUCCGUGCCAGCAGCCGCGGUAAUAC